rnacentral:rRNA from 1 species
UCCUUGUCGGGUAAGUUCCGACCUGCACGAAUGGCGUAACGACUUCCCCGCUGUCUCCAACAUCGACUCAGCGAAAUUGAAUUGCCUGUCAAGAUGCAGGCUUCCCGCGGUUAGACGGAAAGAGCCCGUGCACCUUUACUACAGCUUCGCACUGGCAUCAGGAUUGUGACGUGCAGGAUAGGUGGUAGGCAUCGAAACCGAGACGCUAGUCUCGGUGGAGCCUCCCUUGAGAUACCACCCUUCGCACUCUUGAUGUCUAACCGCGGUCCGUUAUCCGGAUCCGGGACCCUGUGUGGUGGGUAGUUUGACUGGGGCGGUCUCCUCCUAAAGAGUAACGGAUGAGUACGAAGGU